rnacentral:rRNA from 1 species
GGUUUGUCGCGUUGUUCGUGAAAUCUCACGGCUUAACUGUGAGCGUGCGGGCGAUACGGGCAGACUUGAGUACUGCAGGGGAGACUGGAAUUCCUGGUGUAGCGGUGGAAUGCGCAGAUAUCAGGAGGAACACCGGUGGCGAAGGCGGGUCUCUGGGCAGUAACUGACGCUGAGGAGCGAAAGCGUGGGGAGCGAACAGGAUUAGAUACCCUGGUAGUCCACGCCGUAAACGGUGGGUACUAGGUGUGGGUUUCCUUCCUUGGGAUCCGUGCCGUAGCUAACGCAUUAAGUACCCCGCCUGGGGAGUACGGCCGCAAGGCUAAAACUCAAAGAAAUUGACGGGGGCCCGCACAAGCGGCGGAGCAUGUGGAUUAAUUCGAUGCAACGCGAAGAACCUUACCUGGGUUUGACAUGCACAGGACGCCGGCAGAGAUGUCGGUUCCCUUGUGGCCUGUGUGCAGGUGGUGCAUGGCUGUCGUCAGCUCGUGUCGUGAGAUGUUGGGUUAAGUCCCGCAACGAGCGCAACCCUUGUCUCAUGUUGCCAGCGGGUAAUGCCGGGGACUCGUGAGAGACUGCCGGGGUCAACUCGGAGGAAGGUGGGGAUGACGUCAAGUCAUCAUGCCCCUUAUGUCCAGGGCUUCACACAUGCUACAAUGGCCGGUACAAAGGGCUGCGAUGCCGCGAGGUUAAGCGAAUCCUUUUAAAGCCGGUCUCAGUUCGGAUCGGGGUCUGCAACUCGACCCCGUGAAGUCGGAGUC